rnacentral:rRNA from 1 species
UUGGAGGGCAAGUCUGGUGCCAGCAGCCGCGGUAAUUCCAGCUCCAAUAGCGUAUAUUAAAGUUGUUGCAGUUAAAAAGCUCGUAGUUGAAUUUCGGGAUCAAUAUAUCGGUCGUGCCAUUGGUACGUACUGGUAUCAUUGGUUUCUCCUUUCUGACGAACCAUGAUGUCAUUAAUUUGGUGUUAUGGGAAGUUAGGACUGUUACUUUGAAAAAAUUAGAGUGUUUAAAGCAGGCUUUAGCUUGAAUACAUUAGCAUGGAAUAAUGAAAUAGGACGUUCGAACCUAUUUUGUUGGUUUCUAGGAUCAACGUAAUGAUUAAUAGGGAUAGUUGGGGGCAUUAGUAUUCAAUUGUCAGAGGUGAAAUUCUUGGAUUUAUUGAAGACUAACUACUGCGAAAGCAUUUGCCAAGGAUGUUUUCAUUAAUCAAGAACGAAAGUUAGGGGAUCGAAGACGAUCAGAUACCGUCGUAGUCUUAACCAUAAACUAUGCCGACUAGGGAUCGGAUGAUGUUAAUUUUUUAAUGACUCAUUCGGCACCUUACGGGAAAC